GGCCUUUCUAAACCUGACAUCAAAGUAGACACCAUAGAAAAAUUGAUAGAUUUUGUUUUUUUCAAAGUUCAAUUCUCCAAAAGGUGCCAAAUGUAAAUAAUAACAAAUGAGGAGAAAUAUCUUCAACACAUUGGAUAAAGGGUCAGUAUCUCUAAAAUGGUGUAUAUUAAUUCUUACGAACCAAUAAGAAAAAACUAAUCCUCCAAUAGAAGAAUAGGAAAAGAGUGUACAAGGCAAUUCUCAAAAGAAGAAAUAUAAAUGAACUGUAAAGUUGUAAAAUGAUGCUAGUACUCCUACGAUGGGGGAAUGCAAACCGAAUUAACAAAUCUCAUUUUCUGAACCACAGAG
rnacentral:lncRNA from 1 species